GACCUGUUAGCGCAGUCGGAAAUGCGCCCGUGUGAUAUAGUAUAUGUCCAGCCCUGUUGUGUGGGAGCCCCCGGUUCGAAUCCGGGACAGGUCA